rnacentral:rRNA from 1 species
CCUACGGGAGGCUGCAGUAGGGAAUUUUCCACAAUGGGCGAAAGCCUGAUGGAGCAACGCCGCGUGGGUGAAGAAGGUCUUCGGAGCGUAAAACCCUGUUGAUAGAGAAGAAAAUGCGUGAGAGUAACUGUUCACGUUUCGACGGUAUCUAACCAGAAAGCCACGGCUCACUACGUGCCAGCAGCCGCGGUAAUACGUAGGUGGCAAGCGUUAUCCGGAUUUAUUGGGCGUAAAGGGAACGCAGGCGGUCUUUUAAGUGUGAUGUGAAAGCGUUCGGCUUAACCGGAGUAGUGCAUUGGAAACUGGGAGACUUGAGUGCAGAAGAGGAGAGUGGAACUCCAUGUGUAGCGGUGAAAUGCGUAGAUAUAUGGAAGAACACCAGUGGCGAAAGCGGCUUUCUGGUCUGUCACUGACGCUGAGGUUCGAAAGCGUGGGUAGCAAACAGGAUUAGAUACCCUAGUAGUC